AUUGAACGCUGGCGGCAUGCCUUACACAUGCAAGUCGAACGGCAGCACGGGAGCAAUCCUGGUGGCGAGUGGCGAACGGGUGAGUAAUAUAUCGGAACGUGCCCAGUCGUGGGGGAUAACGCAGCGAAAGCUGUGCUAAUACCGCAUACGAUCCAUGAAUGAAAGCGGGGGAUCGCAAGACCUCGCGCGAUUGGACCGGCCGAUAUCAGAUUAGCUAGUUGGUGGGGUAAAAGCCCACCAAGGCGACGAUCUGUAGCUGGUCUGAGAGGACGACCAGCCACACUGGAACUGAGACACGGUCCAGACUCCUACGGGAGGCAGCAGUGGGGAAUUUUGGACAAUGGGCGCAAGCCUGAUCCAGCAAUGCCGCGUGCAGGAUGAAGGCCUUCGGGUUGUAAACUGCUUUUGUACGGAACGAAACGGCGAGCUCUAAUAAAGUUUGCUAAUGACGGUACCGUAAGAAUAAGCACCGGCUAACUACGUGCCAGCCGCCGCCGUAA
rnacentral:rRNA from 1 species